rnacentral:rRNA from 1 species
CAGUCGCCACGGUAAUACGUAGGGCGCGAGCGUUAUCCGGAAUUAUUGGGCGUAAAGAGCUCGUAGGCGGUUUGUCGCGUCUGCCGUGAAAGUCCGGGGCUCAACUCCGGAUCUGCGGUGGGUACGGGCAGACUAGAGUGAUGUAGGGGAGACUGGAAUUCCUGGUGUAGCGGUGAAAUGCGCAGAUAUCAGGAGGAACACCGAUGGCGAAGGCAGGUCUCUGGGCAUUAACUGACGCUGAGGAGCGAAAGCAUGGGGAGCGAACAGGAUUAGAUACCCCUGUAGUCCCUGUCUCUUAUCC